AUGGCGUCUUCAUCUCUAUCAGUGGUGCUGCUCCUUGUGUGCCUGGCCGCGGCGGCGUCGGCGCAGCUGUCCCCGACGUUCUACGACGCGUCGUGCCCCGGGGCGCUGGCCACCAUCAAGAGCGGCGUGGCGGCCGCCGUGAGCAGCGACCCCCGCAUGGCCGCGUCGCUGCUCCGUCUGCACUUCCACGACUGCUUCGUCCAAGGCUGCGACGCGUCCGUUCUGCUGGCUGGCAACGAGCGGAACGCGUUCGGGAACGUGGGAUCGCUGCGAGGCUUCGACGUCAUCGACAAAAUCAAGGCGACUGUGGAGCAGGCGUGCAAGCGCACCGUCUCCUGCGCCGACAUCCUCGCCGUCGCCGCUCGCGAUUCCGUCGUCGCGGUAGGAGGCCCGUCAUGGACGGUCUCUCUGGGGAGGAGAGACUCCGACACGGCUAGCGAGGCACUGGCCAACCGUGACCUUCCUGCCCCAUCACUCGGCGUCACCGACCUCAUCACCCGCUUCGCCGCCAAGGGGCUCAACCACACCGAUAUGGUCGCCCUCUCCGGUGCGCACACCAUCGGGCGGGCGCAGUGCAAGAACUUCAGGACCAGGCUCUACAGCGAGGAGAACAUUGACCCGGCCUUCGCGACGUCGCGCAUGGCCACCUGCCCUCAGCUAACCGGCUCUGGCGACAACAACCUGGCCCCAUUGGACGAUACGACCCCGGACUCCUUCGACAACGCCUACUUCGUCAACCUCAAGCUCAACAAGGGGCUCCUACACUCCGACCAGGUGCUCUACACCCUUGCCGGUGGUGCCACCGAAGACAUCAUUGAUGGCUUCGCGUCUAACCAGGAUGCGUUCAACAACGCCUUUGCCGCAGCCAUGGUGAAGAUGGGGAACAUCAGCCCCUUGAUUUUCCCACAGGGUCUGGUCAGGCGCACCUGCUCUAGGGCGAACUAA
rnacentral:rRNA from 1 species